UACGUAGGGAGCAAGCGUUGUCCGGAAUUAUUGGGCGUAAAGGGCGCGUAGGCGGCCUGGCAAGUGGAAGGUGAAAUCCCUCGGCUUAACCGAGGAACUGCCCUCCAAACUGCUUGGCUUGAGUCCGGGAGAGGUGAGUGGAAUUCCCAGUGUAGCGGUGAAAUGCGUAGAUAUUGGGAGGAACACCAGUGGCGAAGGCGGCGCACUGGACCAUAACUGACGCUGAUGCGCGAAAGCUAGGGGAGCAAACAGG
rnacentral:rRNA from 1 species